UGAAACUUCUUCGGAACAGG
rnacentral:miRNA from 1 species